ACCAGCCUGAGGCGCGCCGUGAGUUCUCCCGAGGAGGUUGUCCCUGGAUCCCGGGACCCUGGCAGUGGCAGGCUGCACAGGCUCCCCGGAAUGGGGGUGUGGAUAGUAACCUGUGCUCGCACACAGGUUUCUUGGUGGCGGCAGCAGCAGCCUUAGCGUCUCAUGCCUGUCUCUGGGGUCCGCGCUUUUAGCCGCGGCCCUCGCCCGUCUCUGGAGCUCCUUUAAGCAGCGUUCUCAAUCCCCUCUCCUCGCGCACCAGAAGGAAGACUGGUCUCCAGCCUGCCCAGGAUACGGAACUGAAGAUGCAGCGGGCUGAUUUUGCCCGUGGCUUUUUUUUUCAUUGAUAUGGUCCCUGUUCCUUGGUUCAUGUGUCAGCUGAUGAAAGCAGCAAUGACCUUUUCCAACAAUUGGCCUCUGUCUUUACAUUGGCUUUCUGCACUUGACUGGGAGCCAUGAAGAUCACCUUAAGGGCACCUUUCAACCUAUUCCUGUGAAAUGGCAACAGAACAGAAAAUGACACAGAAGUAAAGGGACACUGAGGAAUAGAUACAGGUCCUUUUAGCUUGUGAAUGUGAAAAUGUCACAGGUCCCUUCUGAGCAUGUUCCAGCUGGAGGCAAAAAACCACUUUGGGAUAAACAUGUGGACCACAUGUGCAGAAGCACUGAAAAUUAGACAGACGUAGAAAUUGCCAUGAGAUGGAGAAUAAUCAAUACUCAGAAG